AGAACGAACGCUGGCGGCGUGCUUAACACAUGCAAGUCGAACGAGGUGCUUGCACCUAGUGGCGAACGGGUGAGUAACACGUGAGCAACCUGCCCUUGGCUCUGGGAUAGCCUCCGGAAACGGGGAUUAAUACCGGACAUGACCUCCUUCCGCAUGGGGGAGGGUGGAAAGUUUUUCGGCCAGGGAGGGGCUCGCGGCCUAUCAGCUUGUUGGGGGGUAACGCCCACCAAGGCGACGACGGGUAGCC
rnacentral:rRNA from 1 species